rnacentral:rRNA from 1 species
CCUACGGGGGGCAGCAGUGGGGAAUAUUGGACAAUGGGGGCAACCCUGAUCCAGCCAUGCCGCGUGUGUGAAGAAGGCCCUCGGGUUGUAAAGCACUUUCAGUGAGGAAGAACGCCUGGUGGUUAAUACCCAUCAGGAAAGACAUCACUCACAGAAGAAGCACCGGCUAACUCCGUGCCAGCAGCCGCGGUAAUACGGAGGGUGCGAGCGUUAAUCGGAAUUACUGGGCGUAAAGCGCGCGUAGGUGGCUUGAUAAUCCGGUUGUGAAAGCCCCGGGCUCAACCUGGGAACGGCAUCCGGAACUGUCAAGCUAGAGUGCAGGAGAGGAAGGUAGAAUUCCCGGUGUAGCGGUGAAAUGCGUAGAGAUCGGGAGGAAUACCAGUGGCGAAGGCGGCCUUCUGGACUGACACUGACACUGAGGUGCGAAAGCGUGGGUAGCAAACAGGAUUAGAUACCCGAGUAGUC